GCCUUCGUGGUGUAAUGGUCAGCACCCUGAACCGGUAUUUCAGAGGUCCGUGGUUCGAUUCCCGGCGAAGGCG
rfam:Stegodyphus mimosarum contig62143, whole genome shotgun sequence.